CUACGGGUUGCUGCAGUGGGGAAUAUUGCACAAUGGGGGAAACCCUGAUGCAGCAACGCCGCGUGAAGGAAGAAGGUUUUCGGAUCGUAAACUUCUAUCAGCAAGGAAGAUAAUGACGGUACUUGACUAAGAAGCCCCGGCUAACUACGUGCCAGCAGCCGCGGUAAUACGUAGGGGGCAAGCGUUAUCCGGAAUUACUGGGUGUAAAGGGAGCGUAGACGGUAAUAUAAGUCAGAUGUGAAAGCCCGAGGCUCAACCUCGGGACUGCAUUUGAAACUGUAUAACUAGAGUACAGGAGAGGAAAGUGGAAUUCCUAGUGUAGCGGUGAAAUGCGUAGAUACUAGGAGGAACACCAGUGGCGAAGGCGACUUUCUGGACUGUAACUGACGUUGAGGCUCGAAAGCGUGGGGAGCGAACAGGAUUAGAUACCCCAGUAGUC
rnacentral:rRNA from 1 species